rnacentral:rRNA from 1 species
UUGCACCUUUCAAGUGAGUGGCGAACGGGUGAGUAACACGUGGACAACCUGCCUCAAGGCUGGGGAUAACAUUUGGAAACAGAUGCUAAUACCGAAUAAAACUUAGUGUCGCAUGACACAAAGUUAAAAGGCGCUUCGGCGUCACCUAGAGAUGGAUCCGCGGUGCAUUAGUUAGUUGGUGGGGUAAAGGCCUACCAAGACAAUGAUGCAUAGCCGAGUUGAGAGACUGAUCGGCCACAUUGGGACUGAGACACGGCCCAAACUCCUACGGGAGGCUGCAGUAGGGAAUCUUCCACAAUGGGCGAAAGCCUGAUGGAGCAACGCCGCGUGUGUGAUGAAGGCUUUCGGGUCGUAAAGCACUGUUGUAUGGGAAGAACAGCUAGAAUAGGAAAUGAUUUUAGUUUGACGGUACCAUACCAGAAAGGGACGGCUAAAUACGUGCCAGCAGCCGCGGUAAUACGUAUGUCCCGAGCGUUAUCCGGAUUUAUUGGGCGUAAAGCGAGCGCAGACGGUUUAUUAAGUCUGAUGUGAAAGCCCGGAGCUCAACUCCGGAAUGGCAUUGGAAACUGGUUAACUUGAGUGCAGUAGAGGUAAGUGGAACUCCAUGUGUAGCGGUGGAAUGCGUAGAUAUAUGGA